UGAGGGAGGGGGGGGGGGUGAGAGAACAUCUACGUUCCUCAACCCUCCCUCCUCUUAGCACUCAAUAAUACAGAAGAGACGGCUAAUAGAGAAGGGAAAGACUCUGUGGACACAGGUGAGUGCAAAGAGCUACGGGUCCGUGUGCAAUCAAUGGAGUGUUUUCUAAAGGCGGGCGGCUUGGAGGCCUUUUAAGAAAGCACUAAUCCCUCUUACCGGAGAAAGAGUGUAAGCUUAUUUAGAAGUCAGCAUUACUGCUUGAACAACACGGCCGAGGACAGACAGGCUUCUUUGGGACUGCAUGGGACGUGUGCUGGGUGGGUUAACAUUCAUUCACUUCAUUUAGCUGUAAUUUAAUAGCAGAAUCAGUUCAUUAGAGAAAUAGUGGCGUGAUUCUACUUUUCUACCACUGAACUAAUUGUUUGUGUACUGAAAUCAUUUAUUUGUGUAGCCUCAGUUUGAUACUUGUAUUUAGCAGUAGGAAUAAAUAAACAUGUUAUAUGACCAGUCUGACACAUGUCACACGUUUACAUUGUGAAUAUAGGCGUGUCGAUAUUUAACAACUUAAACUGAAAUGAUUAAAGUAUUGAAGUAGUCCGUCCUCGGCCACCUUCAUGGACCGCUGACUCCAAAAAGACAUGAAGACACGAGGGGCGUCGGCGUUAAUCAAACUGUGUGACGAGUCCUACGCAAAGGUCAAAGGUGGAGAGAGAGAGAGAGAGAGAGAGAGAGAGACGCUGCGACUCGCUGUUUGAGAGAAACACGCGCCGCGGAGUGACACGUUCAGUGGCGUUUGGUUGUGAUUCGGUUUGCACCGCCAGGAGCUUCGCCUGACCCCGAGCGGCCGCUUCAGAUCUGGUGGCGGCUUUCUGCGGUCCGCUGGGAUGGACGAGCCGGCCGAUCCUCUGGAGAGAGACCACUUCCUGUCGGUGCUUCUGCCGGGGGGGCUGGAGAAGAACGCCACGGUGCACGGAAGCAAACCGGUGAUGGACUUGCUGGUGACCCUUUGUGCAAACUACCGUCUGAAUCCGUCCGACCACACCGUCGAGGUUCUCUCGCCCAACAAGAACAACAUCAGCUUCAAACCCAACUCUCCCAUUGGCUCGCUGGAAGCGGAAACCAUCGUGCUGAAGCCUAAAGCCGCGGAGGAAAAGAUCAGGAGGCCGUACAUGCCCGAGGCGUCCGUACGUCUGUUGAUCAACUACAACAAGUCCCACAAGGCCGUGGUGCGAGUGAAUCCCAGAGUGCCCCUCCAAAUGCUGCUGCCCGCCGUGUGCGAUAAGUGCGAGUUUCCAGUGGGGACCACCGUCCUCCUGAGGGACUCCGGGUCCGGAGAGCCGCUGGACCUGUCCGAGAGCCUCAAUGACCUCGGGCUGAGGGAGGUGUUUGCCAAAGACACGGCGGGAAGCCGUGAGCACGCUGAGCUCCAGCGCCGACCCGACACCCCCGAAGCAGCAGACCCGCCAAAGAAUGAGAGGAAACCGAAGGACAACACGGGGUUCCUCAGCCUAUUCAGACGAAGGAAGCAAAAAGGCGAAGCGAGGGGGGCAGGCAGCGUCCCAGCUUCUCCGGGCCUCGGGGCGCGAACGGAAGCCUCCUCUUCUCACACCCUUCCGGCAGACGCGCCCAUGAAGAGACGAGCCCCUCAGCCGCCCAUGUGCGCCUCCCAGAGCGCCCCGAGCAACCUCGGUACCUGCCACGCCGCAGGGUCACAGAUGUCUGCAGGAUGCACCUUGAGGAGGACCAGGAGAAGGGCCCCGCCCCCCCCCGGUGCACACACAGGGGUUCAAGCCGAGGUUAAAGGGGCAGCAGGCUCCCUGAACCCCGCCGAGGAGCUGAGCGAAUGCGACCAGACCGACUUGAUGAACCUGUCACCCUCACUAUCUUCCUCAUCACCACAUCCCCACUGCUCCUCGUCCUCCUCGCGGCCCUUGUUCGCUCAUCUCCACGAGGUGACCCGGCCUUCCUUUUCGAGGGAUGGGAUCUGUCCCGACCGCCCGCUGCGCUCUCGCCAAAGUCCUGACGUCGUCCGUUUCCAAAGCAAACCGUGGUCAAAGCGUUUGAGGACCUCCCGCCACCUUCCCAAAGUUCUCCAACGUCACCUCCUUCGUGUCCCCCGAGGCGUUCAGAUAACGAGCUCUACGGGGCAGAACUGGAGUCCGUCCUGGCGUCCAACCUCCCCACCGAGCACGAGGCCCCCGCGCAGAGGAAGGGGAUGACCACGUUCAAGGUGGUUCCCUCCAUGACGCCGAAGGCCUGCGAUCCAGAACUCGAACCGGACCAGAUGACGGGAGGGCACGACCCCGAGAGCGAGGCUUCUCCUGAGGCCGAGAGGAACCCGACGGAGGCCGGGGGAGAUCCACCAUCCCCUGACGGAUCGGAGACUCAAACACCUUUGCGGAGUCCGGAACCCUCGUCUCCCGAGACUCCGCCGCCCCCUCAGCCAACGCAGGGCGUGGACGACCAGGAGAAUCGAUGCUCGCCCGGGCCCGAGGGCGGCGACAUCGUCCAAAAGCAGACGGAAGAGGUCGAACCCGAAGAUCAAUCUGGGGUGGCGCCCCCAGAACUUCCCAGUGAGGCUCAGGAGGAUCCGGCCGAGUGCCAAAGCCCCAGUGGAGAGCCUGUGAGUCCAGACAUGGAGGAGACGAAGCUGAGGAGGACGUAGUACCAGAAAAGGAAGAACAUGACCUCUUCCUCCUCCACCACCACCCAUCUUCUUCGAUGAACACGUGGGGGAGGAGGGAGGCGAUGCGACGGCUUCCUCUCAGCCAACCAGUCCCACCUCCUGCAGGCCCGUGCGAGGAUUCAGCGCAGCGGCGCCGGAGCCUUCGGACACAAAGGGCGCGGCCCCGUCCCGGUUUGCUCAGGCGGUGGCGUUGGCCGUGCAGAGGUCCCGUCUCCAGAGUGGCGGGAAAGGAUUAGGGCCCUCGAAGCCCGGCGGUCCACUCCCCUGAGCGCCCAUGUCCACCUACCAAUACGGUGCCUCGGCGGCUUCUUCCCACGUCUUUUGAACACACGUCCGUGUUUAGGUUGAGGAGCGAGGACGCCGCGCCGCUUCCAGGGAACUUAAACAAAAGGCCCGCUGGGUCAUUUCGUGGGGAGACGGAGAAGAUUUGCAACUUUCAAUGAUUUGUUUCUAUUCUUUGUCAUUUUGUUGUCCAGUUUCACGUUUUGGACCUCAAAGCUUGGAACAUUUUCUGUUGUCAAUCAAGCCGUACGUACAGAACCCGGGUUGUUGAAGGGACAGCGUUCCUGUUUUUCUUUCUUCACUUCCUAGUUGAGUUUUCACUGAAGAUGUGCCAAAGGGGAGAGCUCAUCCCCGUGAAAGGCCCUUUCUCUGUUAGUCUUCUCCCUCCGGGCGUUCAGUUGUUUGCUUUAAGACAAGAAGACUGCAGAAAAACUCCUUUUUCUUUUGCAGCCACCAGGUGGCAGAAGAGCAUUGUUUCUAAAUAUGAAAUGUACUCGCACUGCGAGACGCAUUUGUGAGAUUCAUCAUGCGAGUUCUGGGGGAAACUUCUCAUUCUGUAGCUCAAUGUAUCUUAAAAGUACAAUUUUUUCUCUUCUAAUAACUGCGGCUUGUGAAUGCUCUUGUGGACCAUUGUUCUGAUAUUCCCCUUUCUAAAGGCUGUCAAGUCCAUUUCCAAUUCCCCAGAAUAAAUGAUUUUUUUUUUGUUUUUUUA